GUGAGGAAUAUUGGUCAAUGGGCGAGAGCCUGAACCAGCCAAGUCGCGUGAAGGAAGAAGGAUCUAUGGUUCGUAAACUUCUUUUGCAGGGGAAUAAAGUGCAGGACGUGUCCUGUUUUGUAUGUACCCUGAGAAUAAGGAUCGGCUAACUCCGUGCCAGCAGCCGCGGUAAUACGGAGGAUCCGAGCGUUAUCCGGAUUUAUUGGGUUUAAAGGGUGCGUAGGUGGGUUGAUAAGUCAGCGGUGAAAGUUUGCAGCUUAACUGUAAAAAUGCCGUUGAAACUGUCGGACUUGAGUGUAAAUGAGGUAGGCGGAAUGCGUGGUGUAGCGGUGAAAUGCAUAGAUAUCACGCAGAACUCCGAUUGCGAAGGCAGCUUACUAAGCUACAACUGACACUGAAGCACGAAAGCGUGGGGAUCAAACAGGAUUAGAUACCCCAGUAGUCC
rnacentral:rRNA from 1 species